rnacentral:tRNA from 1 species
GGUCGGUUGGCCGAGUGGUUAGGCAACGGUCUGCAAAACCGUGUACGGCGGUUCGAGUCCGCCAUCGACCU